GAACCCACCUCCACCCAGCGCGCUGCCCCGAUCCCAACUCCAUCUAGCGCGCCGCCGCCCCUAUCCCCUCCUCCCAGAGCGCCUCCGCCUUCCCCGACCCCGGCCGCCUCCCUCCACCACGCACCGCCGUCCUCCUUCCCUAACGCCGGCCGCCGGCCCUCCACCACAUGCCGCCCUCCUCCUUCCCCGGCGCCGGCCGCCUCCCUCCACCACGCGCCGCCCUCCUCCUUCCCCUGCGCCGGCCACCUACCUCCAUCGUGCAGAUCCACUCCAUCCCCGUACUCCUCCUUCAUCCUGCUGGGAGAUCUCGUGCGCCGCCCUCUGGCAGCCGGUGAUGCUUCCCCGCCACCAUUCUGCCUCCUUCCCGAUGGGGCAACGAUGCCGCGCGUACAUGAAGUUCAUCGCCGCCACCUCAGGCCGUUCAAUGUCGACGUCUUGGAUGCGCCAUGCUCCAACGCCAUGGCUUGGGCUUCAGCAGCAAACAAUGGAGCCUACAGGAGGAGCCGCGGGGUUGAGGACGUCCUGUUCGAUAGUACAACUGCUUGCUCGGCCGCCGGUCACUCAAGGAGCUUGUCAUUGCCUACCGUGCAACAAUCAAGCGUGUGCUAAUUGUGACUGAGGUUGCACUGCCCAGCAAUACAGGCAGCAGUUUCACACUACAGGUAAAUGACAUUGCCUCUGAGAUAAUUAUCUUGCAAAUGAUCAGCAAGAAGAUUUACAGUUUAUUUAUGUGUUUAUUUAGCUCCACCCAAUACUGUAAAAAUGCAUGAGGCUAAUACCCUGUGGCCUAGCUGACCGAAUUAGCAUGCAAGCUUCUCCUUUCACCAUGAAAGAAAUGAUAGAUUCAACAGUUGCUAGGUAAAUCACAAAUCUAUUUACUAGAUGUAUUACUACCCAACAUUCAUGUCGUCAGAAAAGUUCAUGUAUUACUACCAUGGGAGUUCAAAGAAAGGUCAUCUAUAAAAUAGUAUAACUUGUGAGCUUCUUGCAGACUAAUGACGAGUUACUAGAUAAACUUAGGCACCACACCACAGUCCAUUCACUGCCGCAUCUGAGGCUGUUCAAUGAUGCAACAACGAGGUCUGGCCUCCCCCCUUCCUAUUUUCAUGAAGCAUAUUCUGCAAAAAUAUCAGACGCUCUCAACUGAAUAAAAAGUGUGUCGCACAAGUUCAGACAUUACAGAUGUACAUUCUUCACCAAGUCGAGCAGCAAAGUUGUCGCACCAAAUCGAACUUGCUACUGCACCAUCUUCACCAAGUCGAACUUGCAGCCGCCAGGUACCAUAGUAGCUCAACUUGAUCUCUCUGGUAGCUCAUCCGGCAAGACUGCUCAAUGGUAUGACUUCUUUGCACAAAAUCAGAUCUGGUAGUUUGUCUGAGAGACACAUUUGUUCUGUAUCGUACUGCACCUUGUGCUCCCUUCAUCCCAUCCAUGCUUAGAUGAGAUUUUUCUGUGCAAUCAGACUUGGGCUAGGGUCAAAAAAUUGGUGAUCUUAGUUCUGAAUUGCUGGGCAUGCAACUCCUCGGUUGUUAAUUGCUAAGUGAUAGUCUGAACAAUCGAUAAGGGAGCCGCUACGCAUUACUAUUGAAACACAAGGUUGUUGCAUUUCUCAAAAAAAAAGUCUAAACCAAGGAGCCGCUGUGCACCAAUCCUCCCCGCCGCGCAGCGACCACCUCUGUCGCCCCGAGUUCCCAGCUGCAUGCAUUCAGGAGCAAGAAAAAAGAGAGGUUAAUUGUCCAUCCACACCGCCUCUCCUCCCAAGUCCACACUAGUUUUAUCACAAAAAGCAGAGGAUGUCUAUUUUAUUUCCUGAAACACAAAGUAGGUGUUCUCAGUUCAAUACGUGAGCUAUCUCAUGUUCUUGGAAAACAUAUAAAACAGUAUGGUGUUUGUGCAAAAAUUCAGACUGUUUUCUAAUUAUACAGCAGUUUACUAAAUGGUAGAAUUGUAGUUGUUCAGUAAAAAGGUUCACUACCCCAAAUGGGGGAUUUUCAAUCCGUUUUGUCUUUCUUUUCCAGCUGAAAGUUGUAGCAAAUGUGAACUGAAGCUGUUGUGGAGCAAAUUAGGAAUAGUUGCCUACUCUUUUGCCGCUGCUACCUUGCCACCUAGAUUAAUACUACUACUACUACUUAUCGUGUUGCUAAACCACAUGUUCUGGACAAUUUGUGGGAAAGUGUGGAGGCGCAAGUGGCUCCGCGACCGAGGAAGGCCCCGGUGCUUGCCAUGGCUGAAGACGGCCUCCAACCGCCGGGCCCAAAGCAGCCAGCCUUUGUUCGCAUGUGUGUCUCCUUCCUGCGUCACCUAGUAGUCCUACUUCUCCAUGACGACAAGGACGACGUCGCCAUGCGUGCAUGCUCCAACCUGUCCCCUGUCGCAGCCCCACCACUCGAUGCCGAUGCACUCCAACCCGAGGACCACCAUGAUGGAGGUCGCCUCACAGCAUAGCGACGAGUGUUUGUUGGUUUCUCUUUCAUUUACGGACAUCUUGGGCUUGCUGGGUGCAGAAUCAAGAAUCCCAAUCAUCAUCAGGGAUGUAAAAAGGAGAGAAGCAUGGGAAGAGGUACUAGUGGAAGAGGAAGAAGUAAUGUGAAAAAUGAGAUAAAUGUGACAAUAGCAAGUAGAAAAGCAUGAGAGGGAUUCAGAUUUUGUUUUCACAUUCUUGCUGUACACGUACCUUUGGUCUGUAGAUGCACCGUAAUGGAUCUAGGAAGUAUGAAUGGUUAAUACCUUAAUGGUGCACUAUGCAUCUUUGGCAGGUUUUUAUGCCUUUUUAAAUGGUUGUGGAGCAAUUUAAUGGUGCGCUAUGCACUGAAGUAUAUAUUGUUUAUAUGUUCUUGUA